rnacentral:sRNA from 1 species
CCCUAGCCCCGAUAGCAGUGGAAAUCCUUUUUAUUGCGUUGCCUUUUUUGAGAUUUCCCAUUGCAUCGAAAUGACAAACGGCAACUACAAAUUAAGCAAUAAAAAGAUUGAAACGAAUAGCGGGAAAAAGC